GGUGCCUUGGUUUGAGUUCACUACGUAUGUUGUAAUUGCGCCUUGAUUUGAUCUAGGUGAACUAAGGAUCUUUUUAGUAGAUCCAUGUUAAUUAUGGAUUUACAUCAGAUGUAAAUAAACAAUUAAAAUCUUAGAGAUCUAAAUUAAAAUCACCUCGCACAUAUUAAGUCUAGCAAUCUUCUACCAUUGUAGAUGUGUGGGCAUGCUACUGGUGUUGAUUGUUUUUGACUUGUCAUAGAAGUUUAGUUACAUCAAAAAUAUGGAACUACUCUAUUAGCAUUAGAUGCUCUGAGGCAGAAAUAGGGUUGGGCUUAAUAACUGCUAGGUGAGGGACCCAAUGAAAGCUUUGCAUCCACUGGUGAAUGGUGGAUCUGA
rnacentral:lncRNA from 1 species